rnacentral:rRNA from 1 species
UACGUAGGUGACAAGCGUUGUCCGGAUUUACUGGGCGUAAAGAGCGCGCAGGCGGUCGUUCAAGUCGAGUGUGAAAGCCCCCGGCUCAACUGGGGAGGGUCAUUCGAUACUGAUCGACUCGAAGGCAGGAGAGGGAAGUGGAAUUCCCGGUGUAGUGGUGAAAUGCGUAGAUAUCGGGAGGAACACCAGUGGCGAAGGCGACUUCCUGGCCUGUUCUUGACGCUGAGGCGCGAAGGCGUGGGGAGCGAACGGG